rnacentral:rRNA from 1 species
UACGGAGGGCGCAAGCGUUGUUCGGAUUUACUGGGCGUAAAGGGCGCGUAGGCGGUCAGCACAAGUCAGGUGUGAAAUCUCGGGGCUCAACCCCGAAACUGCACUUGAUACUGCCUUGCUCGAGUACUGGAGAGGAGACUGGAAUUUACGGUGUAGCAGUGAAAUGCGUAGAUAUCGUAAGGAAGACCAGUGGCGAAGGCGAGUCUCUGGACAGUUACUGACGCUGAGGCACGAAGGCCAGGGGAGCAAACGGG